rnacentral:rRNA from 1 species
GAUCAUAUUCUCAGAUCAAAGACUAAGCCAUGCAUGUCCAAGACUAAACAAGUUGUCAGUGAAUCUGCGUAUGGCUCAAUAAACGAACCAUCACCUCCCCGAGGACAAAGUAACAACUGGAUAACCGUUGUAAUUCAAGGGCUAAUCAUGCGUCAAAAGGGGCUUCGUAAGGAGCUUCUGCAUUUGUUAGCUUCAAAUCAACACUUAUGUGAUGAAUCAUGACAAACUGCGGAUCCUCAUGUUGCAAAAAACGGAGGACGACUCGGUCGGGUCUUUCCCCUAUCAGAUUGUUGUUAAGGUAUUGGCUUAACAAGUCUUUGACGGGUAACGGAGAAUUAGGGUUCGAUUCCGGAGAGGGAGCCUGAGGGACGGCUACCACAUCUAAGGAAGGCAGCAGGCGCGCAAAUUUCCCAAUGCUCAUCGAGCGAGGAAGUGACGAUCAAUAAUAAUGUGCGAAGUUUACUUUGUGCAAUUAGAAUGAACUAAAGUUAAAACGCUAAAUGACGAUCAAUUGGAGGGCAAGUCUGGUGCCAGCAGCCGCGGUAAUUCCAGCUCCAAUAGGAUAUAUCAAAGUUGUUGCAGUUGAAAAGCUCGUAGUCGUACUCCUGGUGGGUCGAUGCUCGGUUCUGCUGGUCGCAAGGCUAGUGGGAUGCAGGGCCGCCUGCCAUUUUGUGGGCAAAAGUUGGGUUGAUGUGUGAAAGCAUGUCAGCUUAACUCCACUCCGUCACUGAGAGCAAAUUGGAGUGCUCAAAGCAGGCUUUACAGCUUUGAACAUCUUAGCUUGGAAUGACAAAGCACGACUAUUCGUAACUUUGUGGGUAUUAAUGAAAAGUAAUGAUAAAUAGGAACAGUUGCGGGGGUACUUCGUACUGGAAAGUCAGAGGUGAAAUUCUUGGAUUUUUCCACGACGAACGACUGCGAAAGCAUUUACCAAGGAUGUUUUCAUUGAUCAAGAACGAAAGUGCGAGGAUCGAAGAUGAUUAGAUACCAUCGUAGUUCGCACAGUAAACGAUGCCAACUCGGAAUUGAGAUCUCAUUCGCUAUUAGAAGGAUCUCAGCGCCGUAUGUGAAAACAAAGUCUUUGGGUUCCGGGGGAGUAUGGUCGCAAGGUUGAAACUUAAAGGAAUUGACGGAAGGGCACACCAGAGGUGGAGCCUGCGGUUUAAUUUGACUCAACACGGGGAAACUCACCAGGUCCAGACAUGAGAAGGAUUGACAGUUUGAAAGCACUUUCUUGAUUUCAUGGGUGGUGGUGCAUGGCCGUUCUUAGUUGGUGGAGUGAUUUGUCUGGUUGAUUCCGAUAACGAACGAGACUCUCAGAGUAAACUGGCUAGCUCGUAACUCACGUUACUUGCGGCCUCUUUUCUCGACUAUUCGUUUUAAACGAAAGGAAGCGGAGAGCAAUAACAGGUCUGUGAUGCCCCUCGAUGUUCUGGGCUACACGCGCGCUACAAUGACGAGUUCAACGAGUUAUUUCUCCUUGCCCGGAAGGGUGUGGGUAAUCUUUUCAAUGCUCGUCGUGAUGGGGCUAGAUUUUUGCAAUUAUUAAUCUUCAACGAGGAAUCUCUGGUAUGUGCAGUUCAUCAGACUGCGCAGAAUGCGUCCCUGCCCUUUGUACACACCGCCCGUCGCACCUACCGAUUGGACGAUCCGGCAAGAUGUUUGGAGUUGUGUCUCUUGGAAUUUCGGUUCCGAUUGAUGUGACGAAGCUCCUCAAACCUUAUCGUCUAGAGGAA